rnacentral:lncRNA from 1 species
CUCUUACAGGUGUGUGGGGCUCACUCAAAGGUAGUGUUCAAAUCCAGGAAAGCCUGAGGGUUGAAAUAUACCAGUUAGCAAAUUCUAAUCUUCUAGUAUGAUUUUCAAAUGCUUGAUCUUCUUUUUUUUUUUUUUUUUUUUUGGAGAGACUGGGAGGUAGUGGGGGAGGGGCAGAGAGAAAGAGGAAGACAGAGAAUCCCAAGCAGGCUCCAUAGCUGUCAGCGCAGAGCCUGACACAGGGCUCAAACCCACGCACUGCGAGAUCAUGACCUGAGCCGAAACCAGGAGUCGGACGCUCAACCGACUGAGCCACCGAGCUGCACCUAUAUCUUCUGUUCUAAUGUGUAACCUUCGUGCAUAGGUUCACCUUACUUCCCUGGGCCUUAGUUUGCCCAUCUGUGAAACAAGAUGGGUUGAUCCUGGGUUGGCACGGAGGAGAACUAAAUUCUCUCUCUCUCUUUCCUUCCCCAGCAAAGGCAGACAUCCCUAAUGAACUCCCAAGAAUGCACUCCUUCUCAGAAGAGCAAUCGGAUAGCCUGCCAGGACUAAGCUACCCAGGUUUGGUUCAGGGCUGAAGCUGUUUGCCAGUCAUGGAGAGUAAAUGCUCACAAAUCAUCUGGGAGGUACGGACAAGAGAAGCAAGGUCCGGGGAAGCUGACUUGCCUAAGACUUGGGAGAAAGGUGAACUGGUGUUGUUGAGGACGGACCCCUGGCACCCGGCUUGGUUUUCCUGAGUGAGGCCUUCUGUUGUCACAGGUGACAUGGAAGGAACCAGAAAUCCCAAUGACCUCUUCUGUUAGUCUUUGACUGAGAUCGGAGAUGUGAGCCUCACUGAAUGAGUAGGUAGAUGAAUGAAUGCAUGAGGCGUGUGAGAGCAUAAGAGAAUGAUAUGGUCGGGCCAAGCGUUUGUCUUCUAAGGCUUAUGAGCAACAGUUAGGCUAUUUUUAGCUGAGUCUUCAGUAAACAGCCUUUAUUUUGACUGCCAAGUGGCACAGUAAAAAUUCUCUAUGGUAACAAGACAGCUUUGUUAUUUUUGAAGAUCAAAGUAUUUUCAAAUGCCAUUCCCUAUUUUUAAAUGAACUAUUGAGACAGCAUUUUUGUUUUCUUUUUGGCUAAAGACUUUGACCAGGUUGAGAAUCAGUAGGUGUUGAACUUUACCUGGUGUUACAUUCUAAGCCUGAGAUGAGGAUUGUCUCGGAAUUCAGGCAGGGCCCUUUGGCCCGUCUGCAAAUGGGCCAUCUCUGCUGGGUCCCUCUCCUACCAUGCAAAGGUCACCCAAGUCC